CUGACAGACUGCCAAGGCAGCCCCUUAGGCGGCUUAAGCCUGCGCUGUGCAGCGUCUCUGCGGGAGACUUCGGCCAGCCUGAGUGACAUGAUCCAAAGAGCGCUUCGGGGUAGGCAAUUGCCCCGGUGGAACGCCUUGCCAGAGCAAUGCAUAGCAGGCCCCCGCGGAGGAUUAACACAGUGGCUGAACACCGGGAAGGAACUGGCACUUGGAGUCCGGACAUCUGAAACUUGGCACGAGGAAAGGCUAUGGGAGCACAAAGCAAGAAAGUGGCCUUCUGCAAGCCAGGAAGAGAGGCCUCCCCAGAAACCAACUCUGUGAGCUCAUCGAUCUUUGACUUUUGGCCUCCAGAACAUUGAGAAAAUAAAAGUCUGUUGUUAAACCACCCAACCUUUAGUAUCUUUCUAUGGCAGCCUCAGC
rnacentral:lncRNA from 10 species